rnacentral:sRNA from 1 species
AACUAAUCAUCGCUGAAUUCCCUAAGGGGAAGCGGGGGAACCCACUUCGGCCCACGCCGAUGGGGUGAAUCGCGGACGGCCGUUUAAGGUCAAGACGCGUAGGGCGACUCUCACGCCCGAAUCCGGCAGCUAACCUCGCAAGCGUAUUCGAGAGAGGCC